rnacentral:rRNA from 1 species
AACGAACGCUGGCGGCGCGCCUAAUACAUGCAAGUCGAGCGAGAAGACGUAGCAAUACGUUUGUAAAGCGGCGAACGGGUGAGGAAUACAUGGGUAACCUACCCUCGAGUGGGGAAUAACUAGCCGAAAGGUUAGCUAAUACCGCGUACGCUCCUCGGACUUCGGUUCAGGGAGGAAAGCGAUACCGUGGGUAUCGCGCUCUUGGAUGGGCUCAUGUCCUAUCAGCUUGUUGGUGGGGAACGGCUCACCAAGGCUUCGACGGGUAGCUGGUCUGAGAGGACGAUCAGCCACACUGGCACUGCGACACGGGCCAGACUCCUACGGGAGCAGCAGUAAGGAAUAUUGCGCAAUGGGCGAAAGCCUGACGCAGCGACGCCGC